rnacentral:lncRNA from 1 species
GGAGAUGAUCACUUCCAUUGUGGGUACGAAGAUUCAGGAGAACGAGCGAGAUUGGAGGAUAAAAAGAAAAACAUGAAAUAUGGAGAUAAAUUAGAAGAGAGCAAUCAAAAAAGAAGGGAAAAAAAAGAAAAAUUAAAAAAAAUUAGAAAAAACUUACAUAUUUGAGAUGAGAGAGAGCUUUCCAUGAAGGGAAGCCGUUGGUUCUAUUGUGAGUACGGAGAUCUAGGAGGAGAGAGAAAAAUAUAGAUCCACUGUCUGUCAUCAUUGGACUAAGAAAGGAAUGGAGCGUCC